UGGCUCACUAGGCUAAUCCUCCGCCUUGCGGCACCGGCACACCGGGUUCUAGUCCCGGUUGGGGCACCGGAUUCUGUCCCAGUUGCCCCUCUUCCAGGCCAGCUCUCUGCUGUGGCCAGGGAGUGCAGUGGAGGAUGGCCCAGGUGCUUGGGCCCUGCACCCCAUGGGAGACCAGGAGAAGCACCUGGCUCCUGCCAUCGGAUCAGCGCGGUGCGCCGGCCGCGGCAGCCAUUGGAGGAUGAACCAAAGGCAAAUGGAAGACCUUUCUGUCUCUCUCUCACUGUCCACUCUGUCAAAAAAAAAAAAAAAAACAAAACAUACUGGAAGUGACAUAAGGAGAAGCAAAUGCCCAGGGUCCCUGAAAAUCCAUAACCACAGCAGCCAAUACUUACUGAGUGUCGCACCACACGCCCAGCACAGCUGCCAAGGCUUGGUAUGGACUAACUCACCGAAUCCUGAUACUAACAGUACUCACUGGUAUGCUUUUGUCAUCCCCAUGUCAUGCAUUAGAAAACUGAGGCACAGAGUGGGUGGGCCACGUGCCCAGGGUCAGACAGCUAAGAAAGGGCUGGUGGCUGAGCAGUCUGCCUCGAGCCCAAGCUCCUACCUGGGGCACUGCUCAUAUCUGCUGACCUCUAAGCCACACUGUGCAAUCCCAGGGCCAGGUCUCAGACAGCCUGGAAUCAACACUGGGGAAAGGUGCUAAGAGCCCUUCUUGAAGGGGCUGCAAUGGAGCUGAGGGCUCUGACCAUCUGCAGUACACGGGUUAUCCAGGUACACGGGUUAUGACUGUUUGAUCAGGACCGGAAGUUCCUGCAGAACAUCUCGGAUGAAUGUCCGACAGCCACAGAGCUGAGGACUGAAUUCUGAAUUCUGCAAACCAGCCUGACCCAGUCUGGUGAGUUCAUCGGUAGCGAGGCUCUGACCGACAGUCACCACAGUGAAGCCAAGCGCUGUAAGCUGACGGAGACGCCAGGGCUUGGCAAAGUCUCCAGCCCAGACGUCAGGAAGGGGGGCAGGCAGGAGGCCACUGCCGACGGCACAGUGACACACCGCUGGGCCCAGAUGUGCACAACAGCUGGUAACCUGCCGCCCAUUGGUGAAACCGUCUGCAACGAUGCUGGUGUGAGUGACAGGCAGCAGCUGGAUUGGCUGGGAGACACACAGUCCUCUGGUUAAACAUGACCACAGUGAAGACCACCCCCCCACACAUACACACACAGAGGACCGCUCCUCUCAGCGCGCCUGUCACAUCCCUCCACUCCACCCAGGGCCACACAAGCAAGGUUUGCCUUUAAGGCUGUGGCCCCCCAGCUGCCCUGCCAUGCCCACAUUCAUGCUGGCCAGUAACCCUCUCAAUGAAGGGAGUGGCACAAGGGUGGAGCCAGGGCCACCACCUGAGUCACCAAGACUCCCACGGGCUGUUAUGUUACUGCAGUAAACAUGGCAGUGCCCAGCGCCGGCCUGUAUCCCGAGAGCCUUGCAGGAACGCCCAGGCCCCAAGCAGACAAAGUGGUAGCCACCCUACCCACAGCCCAGACGGCCCACAGUCCACAGCCCACCUCUGCCACUCCAAAGACACACACUGGCCUCUACCAGCGACCAUCGCAAGGGAGGCGCACGGAGAGUCACGUGAUUCACCAUCUUUAAUCCUUUGGGGAGUCCAGGACAAGAGCCUCCAUGCUCUGCCAUCAACUCCCACCCACUUCCACCUGCUGGUGGGCGGGCAGACCCAGAUCUGGGCUUCUCCAGUGGCUCGGGUUUCCCAGCCUCCUGUAGGACCCAAUUCCCUGACACGUGCAUUGACGUCUUCAAUCUCUCUCUCUUUCCUGGCCACUUCCACCUGGUACACAACUAAAUUAAAGCUAUCUGAAGCCAGAAGCUGAAGAAAUACACCAACAAGAGCAGAAAGCAAGGCUCUUCCAGCUGUGCCCGCCUCACUGGCUGUGUGGGAAGCAGGCGCCCCGGCUGGGCUCACAGAGACCUCUCUGGCUACCCUCAGUCCAAGUCCUUGUUUCCCACGUAUAGGAACACAACGGGGAGACACAGACGUGAGCAGAGAAGCAGGACUUACUGAAAGGCAAGAGGGAUGGCACACUCUCAGAUGUGAGUGUGGGGGGAGGCUCGGGUCAUCCUUGUACAGGAUCCACUGGGGGUAGAGUUCGGGGUGGGGCCUGAUUGAUAGGAUAUUCAAAGACAGCAGAGAUUGGGGUGGGGCUGUGGCCCACGUGGUCAUCUCCAGGAAGGUGUCAUGGCGUCUCGGGCCUGAUGGGAAGUGAGGCUUGGCUGCACAUGGGCGAGGGGGUGUGCCGAGACCUCAUCAUGCGGAAUCUGCACUGAACACGAUGGGAUGUGGGCAGUGUGUGCAGUGUGGGCUGUCCUCAGUGCCCGCUACUCACUAGCUGCCUACCUGCCCAUGUCAACUCCACCCCCAGUCUCUGCACAUCCCACCACCUUCUGGCUUGUGCGCCGUCUCCCUCAGACUGUCAUUCCAGUAACCUCCAUGCUGCCACAGCCCUCACACCCUUGUAGUCCUCACCACCAUCCCCUUUGGCAUGCCCCGUGGUAGAACCCUCCCUCCUCCUGGACAGCUCCGCUCCAGCCUGCGCACUGCCCCUCUGCUGGUUGCCUCCUCCAAGAUCCAGGCCCACAGCUUCCGGACGGGCCCUGACAGAGGUGACUCGGUGUGAGACAGGCUGAGGGAGCAGUCUAGCCCCCUGGGGUACUUCCUGCUACCCCAAGACCUGCAGGCUAUGGGUUUGGGCCUCUUGCUCUGAAGACAAACAGUCCCCCCUGGCUGGACCAGGCUCAAACCACUGUAGGAGCCAAGGCUGCUCUAGACUGACCUACAGCUCAUUAUAUGCUCAUUGUAAUAUAUUUGCAUGCUAAAUGACAUACCCACCACCACCACCACGACAGGUUCCUACCAGAGCAUGUAAGGAGCCAAAAGGGGUGGCAGCUAGAGUCUAGGGCACGUCUGCUUACCUUCACCUCCACCAGGGAAGAUCAUCAAUAUUCCUCCCUUAUUGGAAUGGGCCUCCCCUUCAUUAAGGGGCCCACACAACGCUAAGCGUGGUUCAGAGAUGGCACCACUGCCCUCCAAAGGGGCCGCACGUGUGCUUCCUCGGUGAUGUGCUUCCAGCUUGCCAUUCGCUGUGCUCCAACUCGCUCCUGAAUUCCUUCUUGAGGCGAAGCCAAGAUCCUGGGUGCUGGGUGGCACUCACCCCCUGCCUGGUGCCAAGUUGAGGGCACCUGUGUGAAACACCCACCAGCAUCCCAUUUGGAAUGAGAGCCCAACUCUGACCCUGGCCUGCAUAGCCAACACCACACAUACUGGAGGCUGAGGGGUUCACUUGCAACUGUGGCAUCUUCUUGGUUAGGGCUUCCCACGAUUGGUUUCUCCAGUUGAAUGAAAGCUCCCUCGCCACAGCCCCCAGCACCUGGAACAGCUCCUGGGACACCGGUAAGUACUCAAUGAACAUUUAUGAAGGGAAUGAAUAGGUAACGGAUUACUUCCGCAGGACCUGAGUCAUCCCAUACCCAUCCGGGGCCAGUGAUGCUGUGAAAGCAAGCUCAUCGGAGAUUCUGAAAGCCUGCACAUCAUCCGCAACUGGCAAAAGCAGGCUGAGGGCCCAGGCACCUUUCAAGAAGGCAAUGCCACAAGAUAGCAAUCGUUUGAACUCUUUGGUUUCCAGACUCUGUCUUAGCAAGCCAAGUCAAUCUUCCCCUCCACAAGAGAAGAGAGGCUGUGAUAAACCAUGCGUUAACAUCAGGCGCUUCCUCAGACAAGGCAGUACACUUUCCCAGUAAACAAAACCAGCCAGAAUCUCUGAGCCGCCAAAGCCAACAAGCCAAGUUCUACAGUCCGCUCGCACUAGUGAUCCUGGAAGGACACGCCUGGGCCGACGAGCCUGGAGGGCUUGUCAUUACGACUCCUGGAGAUGUUCUCGAAGCCAGCGCAAAGCCUGAAGAACGCAACCGGGAGCAGAUGUUCAUCUUCACACCACGCUGCUCUGAACUUCAGUGUGUGCGACUUUUCCCCACCCUCCCCAGAUUUACACAGGCUGCCAAAGCCUCCACGGAAGGCACUUUCACAGACCACAGAGACGGGGCCGUCGCGCACUGCGAUCCCCGUUUUAACCCCUUUCCGAGUCCCCACGCUACAGACCAACAGCCACAACACAAGCCUCAUGGCGUGUGAAACUCCCUCGGUGAACAAAGUCCUCAGACUAAGUCCGAGGGGCUGGUUUUCAUUACACUGUGCUACAGAAACGAAUGUCUCACUGUGCUUUCGUAAAUAGCCCUGGAGAAGCUGGGGUGUUUUUUCUGGAAGAUGAAAAUGAUUUGAGAGCGUUCAGAUCUCAUGGAGACGUGUAAUCUCUUUGAGUAACAAAUAAGGGUUUUUUUUUUUUUUUUGGUGUGUGUGGGGGUGCACAUACAACUGUUGAGAAUUAUAAAGCUGAUUUUCAAUGCACAAUAACCUUAUAUUCAAUUCUGGACUUUUUCCCGCUUCUCGCCUCCAUUGUGAUUUUUAUGUAGUCUAUGCGAAUUGUUCCCUCCGAGUAGAAUGAACACCGCAUGUCUGAAUUCAUACAGGUGGAGGACCUUACAUUCCCAGGACAGACACGAUUAUACCUCUCAUGGCAUGCAGGCUGCUAGAACCUCACCACUCCCCGCUCUCCCCUCCCCCCAAGGCACAAACUCUGUCCCUUCUCCCUGAUCCAGGACGAGUCACUGUGAUGGCCUCAACCAAUGAGUAAGGUCUGAAGGACUCCAUGGGACUUCUGAGGGCUGACGUAAAAAUCCAUGGAUUUGUAUCUUGUCCCAUCGGGAUGCCUGCCCUUAGAACCCAGCCGCUACACCUGCAGGAGACCCACGCUGUCUGCGGAGAAGCCUACGGCCAGCACCAACCAGCCAGCCACUUGAACGUGGAUCCUCCGGGCCGCCAACAAACCAUCCACCUGAUGCCAUGGCGGGCAGAGACCAGCUGCCUCUGCCAACGCAUGCCCAAGGGGCAGACCUGUGUGCAAAAUAAAUGGCUACUAUUGUGUUAAGCCAGUAUGUUCCGGGGUAACUUAUUAUACAGCAGCCCAUGUCUCUUAAAGCAUAGCAAACCUCACUAACUCUCACUUGGAGGAGAUACCAGGCUGCCCUGGUUUCUUAGACGUCUAGGAUCCACAAUCCUUUAUGAGAAACACAGUUAGCAGCAGGAAUGUCAGCAAGGAUAACACAAAUGCGCCCCCAGAAGUGGUCCCUUAGGAACCUGCUUUCACACAGAGAGAAGAGCGAUUUGGCAUCAGCCUCCGGGUUUGUAUCGGUUGAGUCGGCACUGCCGGGACCCACAGGUCUCCAUCCUCCAGGUAAAUAAACACCCCCACUGCAGCGUGGCUCCCAUUACUCAUCGGCUGAGCAAACCUGCAGGCAGACUUGUGUGCCCCAAGUGGCAACCGUGCAGUGUGAGAAUUAAUGAUGCGGCUUUACUCUCCGAGAACCAAGUGGAUGGCGCCCGUGCCCUGGAGUCGCACAGGGCCAGAGGCGCCUGUAUUCGGAGGCAUCACAAAGAGACGCGGUGGACGCGCUCCGGGAAGCCGACCGCAUCUCCUGCAAGGCGGAAAGUGGCUGAAGGUAAAGCCUCUCCACCCACAGACCGGACCGGACAGGACCGGAAGAACGAGCCUGAUUGGCGCCAGGAGACAUCUUAAAGGCCCGCUCUCUUCGGGGGCAUUUCUGAUGCUUCUACCCCUGGGUCCCCCACGCGACACCCUUGUUCUUUUCAAGGUUUCUUUGCCGGCCUCUGCCCAGGGGCAGCCCUAGGGCCCCCACUGUUGGGCUCCGAGCGUGGUCCGCCCCCUUCGGAAGCACACGUCUGAGUUUGGUGUCGGCUGUGAGGCAUUGGCCAGGGCGCAGACUCAACCCCACCGUGGCAAGGGGCGGCGAUCCGGCUGGAGGAGGCCCCCAGGUGGGGUCCCCACCAAUGAGCACGGGCGGGGGAAGGGCUUUGUGAGAGGGGAGAGAAGAGAGAACACACACGCACCCCUCACCCCCAUCCCCCAUCCCCACCCCCGUCUCCCAACCCGACGUCCUGUGUUGUCCUGGACUCUGCCAGUCAGAAGGCCACGGACAGAUGGGGCAUCUCCACCGUGGACCGGACGCGCGAGCCAAAAUAAUACUUGUUUUCCUUGUAACUUAGCCAUUCUGUGUCAUGGCGUUAGGAGCAGACUAAGACACCCACCAACAACACCCCUGUCACUCCGCUAAUAACAUCCCCACUUCCCCAGAAAAUAAUAGUAAUACCCCAUCACUCCCACCGGUGACACCCCAAGUAUCCACGUCCGUUCCAAAUCCAGGAAUGCUACCAGCAGGCGGCCAGGAUGAAAAAUGUAGAUCAGGAAGUAAUUGAUUAGAUCAGCUUACUUCUAUAUUUUCUCUUUCUGCUUAGGCUAAAUUUACAACAAUUAGUUACAAACAUCUUGAGUUACUUGUACAGAUUAUAGCACCUCCCCCCAGAACGGCCAUCCAUCCUGUUUUUUCAUUCUUUGAAAUGCUUAAGGAGUCAAAAGUGAGCCAACAAAUGAAUCACUGAAAGUUUAGAUUUUUCUCACAACAGAUUUUCUCCCACUGGAGUGUCAGGAGGCGAUGUUUAUUUUUAAUCUUAAGAAAAAAAAAAGCUUUGUAAAAAUAACAGUGCUGGUUCUGAGCAUCACUGACACUCAGGAGUUAAAGGGGAGGGCGGCACAGUCAUCACGCACUCCACAAACAUGGUUGCAGCGGGCGGAGGGCAGAGGGAAGGCUCGGAUGUGUACAGGGAGGCCCACAGGAGGAGGGUGCCGGGCACUAGCCCAGCCAGCUGCACGCAAGCCGCCCGGCUCCGGUAACCCUGACUGGCCGCGGCUCCAGGACAGCAGAGCUGCAGGCACACAGAGACGGCGUUCUAGCACGAAUCCUCGUUUCACAGAGAAGAGAGCCAAGCAGAGGAGAAAGCCCAGUGCCCCCUAAACACAGCUGACAUGACUAGGAAGUGGGUUUCCUUUACCGGAAUCAGAGAAAAUUCUGGAACGAGGCUUUUCCCCUGGGGGAGGCAGGUCAGUUUCCAAACUUAGCAUCUCACAUCCAAGUGCUUUCUGUACCCCCACGCCCGCCCUCUGCAGCCCUCUGCCACUCGCUGACUCAGUUCCCUGCAGAGCCCAGCGGCUGCACCCGAAGGCAGAACUGGGGCGUGGGGGACCUCCCACGGGCUGUAACCCUGUCAUCACUCAGGCUCUCCAAGCCCUCGGAGAAGAUGCCGCAGAAUCGCAAGCAGUAAAAGAGAAAGGUUCCAGCAUGAGGGGAAGAAACAGCAGACGGCCUCACCUCACAGCCUGCCAGGAUAAACUCGGCAUCUUCCAGGAGACACCUCAGCCCGCAUGCGCCUCCAGCGUAGUCCAAAUCCCCACACUCGGGCUCUGUGCGGAGCGGCGCUGGGGAGGGGGUGUCGGCACCUCCUGACACUCGCACGGGGAGGUUCAACCUGGGCUGUCAACCCGUCAGCUGCCACAUGUGUUCACUGGCGGUGCAUAAUUAGCGCCUGAGCGACUCCCAUCCCAUAAGAAGUACAUAUAUCUCCUCUCUAUCCAUCUCCCUUUGGAAACUGUCCUGGUGACCAUGGCAAAUGCCACACACGGAAGGGGAGGCUGAAGGCAGGGUGGCUCCAACAAGUGUCAAGCUCCCCAAACACUAGAAAGAGCUACUGCAAGCUAAGAGCAAAGAGAGAAAAUAUAAGCAUCUUAGCACUCUGUCUGCUUUAUGUUCACGGCAUCACCUCUCAAAGCACCUUUUCCUACACAAUUCUCAUGUCUUGCAAGCUUUGGGAAUAAGAGACUAUUUUUCAAAGCUUGCUGAAAAAACGGAAUUAAAAGAUAGGUUUGGGUCAGGCGUUGUGGGGCAGCAGGUUAAGCUGCUGCCUGGAAUGUCCACACCCCAUUUUGGAGUGCCAGUUCCAGUCCUGGUUCACCUGCUUCCGAUCCAGCACCCCACUAAUGCACCUGGGAAAGCAGCAGAUGACGGCUCAAGUGCCUGGACCCAUGCUACCCACACAUGGGACUAGGAUGGCGCUCCAGGCUCCUGGCUUCGGCCUGAUCCAGUCCUGGCCAUUGGAGGUGGGAACCAGUGGAUGGAGAACCCUCCGUUUCCCUCUCUCUGUGUGUUUCUCUUUCAGAUAGAUAAAAAAAUACAAAUAAACAUGUUUUUCAAAGAAAGAACAGCCUUUUUUGGUUCAAAAAAUUUUGAUAUGCACG